rnacentral:misc_RNA from 1 species
GGACAAGCGAUGAUACUAUGAACCGGCAAGUGCCGAUGUCAGAGAAGAAAAAGGCACGAAACAUUGGGUCCAAAAAUAGGAGGCUUCUUAUGCAUGCUGAUGAUGCUAUGGAACUUAGAAUCACCUGGGAAGAAAUACAAGAAUUGCUAAGGCCAUCUCCAACUGCCAAGCCUAACAUUGUUGUGGUUGAGGACUGUGAAUUUGAGGAAUAUGAAGAAGCACCAGUCUUUGGAAAGAGGACGAUAUUUACUGCUCGAUCUUCCGGGGAUCAGGAGCAAUGGGCUCAAUGUGACAGCUGUUCUAAAUGGCGUAGAUUGCCGCUGCACAUUCUCCUUCCUGCAAAGUGGACUUGUUCUGACAAUAUUUGGGACUCAAGAAGAUGCUCUUGUGCUGCUCCUGAUGAGAUUAGUCCGAGGGAACUGGAAGCUCUCCUUCGAGUUGGCAAGGAUCCUAAGAGGCGAAAACUUGUAGAAAACAAUGAAGAUUUAGAGUCUUCUGGCCUAGAUGCCUUGGCAACAGUUGCUGCAAGUGACAUGGGAGAUAGCAUUGGCGACAUGGGAGAGCCAUCAGUUGGAGCCACAACAAAACAUCCUCGGCAUCGCGCUGGUUGCACUUGCAUUGUGUGCAUUCAGCCUCCAAGUGGGAAGGGCAAGCACCACCCCACGUGUAAGUGCAAUGUCUGUUUGACUGUGAAACGUCGUUUUAAAACACUCAUGUUGCGUAAGAAGAAAAAACAAUCAGAACGAGAAGCAGAACUUGCACAGGCAAAAGAUCAGGUCCCUCCUAAAGAUGAAUCAGAAACAGACGGGAUGACGAGUGGAGUAGAGUUGCUUCAAAUGAAUCAUUCCGAGAAUGAACACAUGAAUCACUCUGACAAUGAAAGGAAUUCAAACGGGGAUCAAGUGGAGGAGUUCGGACCUGGGAAGGGUCAGUUGGACCUGAACUGCCAUCCAAACCGUGAUGACGACAUGCUAGCUGAGGCCACUGCUGGAAUGAGCAUGACCUCCCUUGUUAAUGCUACCAACCUACCCCUGGAGUAUCUAACGCAGAAUAGGCUCGAGAGCUUGGGCAACUCUUUACUGUCACAAGCUGCCAGUGAGAGUGAAGGGCACCAUCCUGAUAAUGGAUUCGGGAAAACUGCAGAUGUUGAAUCAGGGGGUAAAGGCGCCAAAGCGUAAAUUAAG